rnacentral:rRNA from 1 species
GGAAAUCUCACCAGGCCCGGACACUGGAAGGAUUGACAGAUUGAUAGCUCUUUCUUGAUUCGGUGGGUGGUGGUGCAUGGCCGUUCUUAGUUGGUGGAGUGAUUUGUCUGGUUAAUUCCGAUAACGAACGAGACUCUGUCCUGCUAAAUAGUGUCCACCUCUCUUUUGGGUGGACAAUUCUUCUUAGAGGGACUGGCGACUCUCAGUCGCACGAGAUUGAGCAAUAA